UUUUUUUUUUUUUUUGAGACGGAGUCUCGCUUUGUCGCCCAGGCUGGAGUGCAGUGGCCGGAUCUCAGCUCACUGCAAGCUCCGCCUCCGGGUUUACGCCAUUCUCCUGCCUCAGCCUCCCGAGUAGCUGGGACUACAAGCCCACCACCUUCAGCUAGUUUUUGUAUUUUUAGUAGAGACGGGUUUCACCAUAUUAGCCAGGAUGGUCUCGAUCUCCUGACCUCGUGAUCCGCCUGUCUCGGCCUCCCAAAGUGCUGGGAUUACAGGCUUGAGCCACCGCGCCCAGCCUACUUAGUAUUAUCUUUUUGAGAUGGAGUUUCACUCUUGUUGCCCAGGCUGGAGUGCAAUGGCGCGAUCUCGGCUCACUGCAACCUCUGCCUCCCAGGUUGAAGUGAUUCUCCUGCCUCAGCCUCCCGAACAGCUGGGAUUACAGGCGCCCGCCACCAGGCCUCGCUAAUUUUGUGUAUUUUUAGUAGAGAUGGGGUUUCACCAUGUUGGCCAGGCUGGUCUCAAACUCCUGACCUCAGGUUAUCCACCCGCCUCAGUCUCCCAAAGUGUUGGAAUUACAGGCGUGAGCCACUGCGUCCGGCCAAUAAAUUGUAUUCUUUUUAUUUUUUUUUUCAGCCUUUUAAACCUUGGCUGGGCGCAGUGGCUUAUGCCUAUAAUUCCAGCACUUUGGGAGGCUAAGGCAGGAGGAUCUCUUGAGCCAGGAAUUGGAGACCAGCCUGGGACAACAUAGAGAGACCCUAUCUCUACAAAAAAAUUAAAACAUUAAAAAAUUUUUAAAAAGUAGCCGCGGUCCCAGCUACUUGGGAAACUCAGACAAGAGGAUCACUUGAGCUUAGGAGGUCUGGGUUGCAGCAAGGCAUGAUUGCGCCACUGCACUCCAGCCUGGGCAAGAAAGUGAGACCCUGUCUCUAAAAAAUAAGAAAACAAAAACACCUUAAAAAACAUGGUAGCUAGCAGGCUGUACAGGGACUUGGCCACAGGUGGAUGUUUCUCUGCCCCUGGUUAGAGCCUAAGAUUUGUCAUGUGGACUUUAAGAUUGGUUUCUCUGCCUUCCUGAAGCUAUUUUCUCAUCUGUAAGAUAUACUGCUGACACACCUCAGAGCAUCGUUGUGGGAAUGAAGUGAGAAUAUAGAUGAAGCUAUUGCAUAAAGGAUAUUGUUCUUUGGGAAGUUGUUGGUGUGUAUCCCCAGCAGAAGAUGUGGACUUAGAGAUUUGGAUGGUGUCUUGCUGGCCAUGCACUCCGCGAAUUUCCUGAGCACAGGCAGUGUGCGUGCCCACCAUGCAAUAGCUCAUUUAAUUAUCUCAGGCAUAGGAGAUAAAAAUGACAUAUUCUCACUUUAUAGGAGCUCAGAGCCAAGAUUUGAACUGGCUGUAUUAGAUCUGCCUUCAGAGCCCCUACUCAUCUUCCUCCUUUCUCUCUGAACAAAUUUGCCUCUGAACAAACUUGGAGUUGCUUAUCUAUCCAGCAACAGGACCUUUAACAGAACACUAUUUUUCUGGACGUCUAUAACCUCUUUGGUCUAGGGACAAGAAUUAACACCUUCUAUGUGCAACU
ensembl:lncRNA